AGCGGCGAACGGGUGAGUAACACGUGGGUGAUCUGCCCUGCACUUCGGGAUAAGCCUGGGAAACUGGGUCUAAUACCGGAUAUGACCUUCGGCUGCAUGGCUGAGGGUGGAAAGGUUUACUGGUGCAGGAUGGGCCCGCGGCCUAUCAGCUUGUUGGUGGGGUAAUGGCCUACCAAGGCGACGACGGGUAGCCGACCUGAGAGGGUGACCGGCCACACUGGGACUGAGACACGGCCCAGACUCCUACGGGAGGCAGCAGUGGGGAAUAUUGCACAAUGGGCGAAAGCCUGAUGCAGCGACGCCGCGUGAGGGAUGACGGCCUUCGGGUUGUAAACCUCUUUCAGCAGGGACGAAGCGAAAGUGACGGUACCUGCAGAAGAAGCACCGGCUAACUACGUGCCAGCAGCCGCGGUAAUACGUAGGGUGCAAGCGUUGUCCGGAAUUACUGGGCGUAAAGAGUUCGUAGGCGGUUUGUCGCGUCGUUUGUGAAAACUCACAGCUCAACUGUGAGCCUGCAGGCGAUACGGGCAGACUUGAGUACUGCAGGGGAGACUGGAAUUCCUGGUGUAGCGGUGAAAUGCGCAGAUAUCAGGAGGAACACCGGUGGCGAAGGCGGGUCUCUGGGCAGUAACUGACGCUGAGGAACGAAAGCGUGGGUAGCAAACAGGAUUAGAUACCCUGGUAGUCCACGCCGUAAACGGUGGGCGCUAGGUGU
rnacentral:rRNA from 1 species